GGCCGGAUAAUUAGUUAGGAAAAUAUCUUCUUAGUUGAACGAAGAGUCCGUAUCAGAUUUCUUACCUGUUUGCUUGUGAGUUAGUUUGAAACGACUUGGUGUGUCACCUAUAAAACACGCUGGCUUCGUCCAUUGUACGCAUGCUAUUUUUUAGAGUUUAGACAAUAUUGUGUAUCGAUAUUAAGCGAUCCUCUUUGGGUGUCGUUCAUAUUUAUUUUGUGUGAAUUUUCUAUCCGAAAGUUGCACUUGGUUCGAGGUCCGUCGUCACCGACGGGUUGCGGGCUGGUUACGUCUACUACGGCGGGAGGUUUCUCGUGUGUCGAGGGAUUAUCCGUUGGUGGUCGUCACCCCAUCUUCAGGUUAUGUGUACUCUUCACGUAAUUGGGAGAUUUUAUCGUGAAUCUUGGAGGAGUUCGUUGCAUUGUAAAAGAUCGGGCCGAAUCAGUGGCACAUCUGAGGUCUUGCCUCAUCAGUUGGUAUCAGUUUACUAGGUUUAUUACGGUGCAAAUUUUCUCUUUAAUUUCUUCAUACAGAUUCUAAAACUGCGAUGAGGAUGGAGUAUUAUUUUGAUGGUGAGAUGUCCCAAUGUGAGAAGGAUCCGUCACGAGCCCUUUCAUGGUUUCAAAUCUACACAAGAGUGAAGGUUGGGCCAACUACCUGUGCUGCAAUGUUUGAUCGUUCUUCAGAAAUAAAUUUGGUGAGUCAAACCUUGGUUGAUGCAUUGAAGCUAGCAGUAAUAGAGCAUCCAGACCCAUAUAAGCUCAGAUGGCAGGGAAAAUUUGUGACAAUAAAACAUCAAGUAGAGGUGACUUUUGGAUUUUGUGAAUUUACCAAUUCAGUUUUCUGUGAUGUUCUUCCAUAUCAUAUGUAUAUGUGUAGCUUGAUACUUGGUAAAUCUUGGACAAAACAGAAGAAGCUACAGAUUGAUAAAUCUGGCUAUUUUUCUUGGAGGAAAUUUCAGAUACUUCAUAAUGGUCGAUGGAUUUGUUUUGAAGCAUACUCUUCUGAACAAUAUUUGGAGGAUCGUAAGAGAUGAGACCAUGCACAUGCUAAAAUUGAUGCAAAGAAUCAAGAAGAGAGGAUCUUGCUUGAGAAGAAAAAGGUUGAGGAUAGUUUCCUUGGAGAUAAUAAUAUUUCUUCACAUGAGAAGAACAAAGAAAAACUAACAGUACCAACGAGUGGGUUGAAUGUGCAACUUAAGAAGGUGCAUGAUGGAGAUGAAUUGAUAGUAGACAGAGGUCAGCGCAUGAGUUUAUUUCAAACUCAGUGUGACAUUAAGGGUGUGGCAUGCAAGUUAAUUAUUGAUGGAGGUAGUUGCACUAAUGGCAUUAGCAACAUGUUAGUGUAGAAGCUUGGUUUGUCCGCAUGGCGAUAUGAUAAACCAUAUAUUUAGAGUGGUUGAACAAUUGUGGGAAGCUCAAGUUACACAUAAAGUACGUGUACCAUUUUCAGUUGGACAGUAUGUCGAUGAGGUGUAAUGUGAUGUUUUGUCGUUGGAAGUUUGCGGUUUACUACUAGGUCGACCUUGGCAGUAUGAACGUAGUGUGCAGCAUGCUGGAAGUACCAACACAUAGACUUUUAUUCAUAAUGGUGCACAAAGGACACUUAAAUCAAUGAAUGAAAAAUUAAUCCACUCAGAUGUGGUAUUGACAAUGCGCAAGGAGAGGGCUCCCAAGAAAAACAUGAAACCGAAGACGGUUUCUCUUAAAGUGAAGGGGGAUGAUAUUCUUUUAGUAAAGAAAACGGUCCCUAAAGCUAUCAUGAAGCCGAGGACGGCUUCGUUUCAAGAGGGAGAGGAUUAUGUGGCCAUUAGUGGCAAAGCUAUUGUUUCACGUACGAAAACAUUUCAAGCUAUUUCAUAUGCUACAAAAAAGGAAAGAGACUUGGACCAUGGUGCUUCAACACCACAAGAAGAGAUCAAACCAACUUUCAGAACUCCCCCGAACAGGUUGUGUUUUGAUCUAUGGCAAGAAAUAAGCAAGCAACUAGCUACGUGAUGUGUUUUUCCUUCCAUAGUGCGAACGCUAGCUACAUGCAUGGCAUCUUUCUUAGGCAGGUCUACAACUAGUACUAGUUACGUGUCAUGUUCUAAGUCUAAUUCGGUUGAUAUGUGAUCAAGGUGGCCGGAUAAUUAGUUAGGAAAAUAUCUUCUUAGUUGAAUGAAGAGUCCAUAUUAGAUUUCUUACCUGUUUGCUUGUGAGUCGGUUUGAAACGACCUGGUGUGUCACCUAUAAAACGGGCUGGCUUCAUCCAUUGUAUGCAGGCUAUUUUUUUAGAGUUUAGACAAUAUUGUGUAUCGAUAUUAAGCGACCCUCUUUGGGUGUCGUUCAUAUUUAUUUUGUGUGAAUUUUCUAUCUGAAAAUUGC
rnacentral:lncRNA from 1 species